ensembl:snRNA U6 U6 spliceosomal RNA
GUUCAGUUUGGCAACACAUAAUAAAUUGGGAAUGAUACAGAAAAGGUAAGCAUGGCCCCUGGGCAAGGAUGACAUGCAUAUUUACAAAAUGUUUCAUAUUUAA